AUUGAACGCUGGCGGCAGGCCUAACACAUGCAAGUCGAACGAGUGGCGGACGGGUGAGUAAUGUCUGGGAAACUGCCUGAUGGAGGGGGAUAACUACUGGAAACGGUAGCUAAUACCGCAUACCAUCGGAUGUGCCCCGAUGGGAUUAGCUAGUAGGUGGGGUAACGGCUCACCAAGGCGACGCUCCCUAGCUGGUCUGAGAGGAUGACCAGCCACACUGGAACUGAGACACGGUCCAGACUCCUACGGGAGGCAGCAUGGGGAAAUAUUGCACAAUGGGCGCAAGCCUGAUGCAGCCAUGCCGCGUGUAUGAAGAAGGCCUUCGGGUUUUAAAGUACUUUCAGCGGGGAGGCGUUACCCGCAGAAGAAGCACCGGCUAACUCCGUGCCAGCAGCCGCGGUAAUAC
rnacentral:rRNA from 1 species